rnacentral:rRNA from 1 species
UACGGGGGGGGGCAAGCGUUGUUCGGAAUUACUGGGCGUAAAGCGCGUGUAGGUGGAUUGGUGUGUCAGAUGUGAAAGCCCUGGGCUCAACCCAGGAACUGCACCUGAAACUACCAGUCUUGAGUGGUGGAGAGGGAAGUGGAAUUCCUGGUGUAGAGGUGAAAUUCGUAGAUAUCAGGAGGAACACCAGUGGCGAAGGCGGCUUCCUGGACACCAACUGACGCUGAGACGCGAAAGCGUGGGGAGCAAACAGG